UACAGAGGGGGCAAGCGUUGUUCGGAAUUACUGGGCGUAAAGGGCGCGUAGGCGGCCUGUUAAGUCGAACGUGAAAUCCCUGGGCUCAACCCAGGAACUGCGUCCGAUACUGGCAGGCUUGAAUCCGGGAGAGGGAUGUGGAAUUCCAGGUGUAGCGGUGAAAUGCGUAGAUAUCUGGAGGAACACCGGUGGCGAAGGCGGCAUCCUGGACCGGUAUUGACGCUGAGGCGCGAAAGCCAGGGGAGCAAACGGG
rnacentral:rRNA from 1 species